AUUCUCAGUGAUGAAGAAACAAUAGAUGACGAGUCCGAUGAAAUCCAUUCAUAAAAUCGUGGGGACAAACGAGGCAUUUGUCUGAGAGGAU
rnacentral:snoRNA from 1 species